rnacentral:rRNA from 1 species
AACGAACGCUGGCGGCAUGCCUAACACAUGCAAGUCGAACGAGACCUUCGGGUCUAGUGGCGCACGGGUGCGUAACGCGUGGGAACCUGCCCUUAGGUUCGGAAUAACUCCCCGAAAGGGGUGCUAAUACCGGAUAAUGUCUUCGGACCAAAGAUCUAUCGCCUUUGGAUGGGCCCGCGUUGGAUUAGCUAGUUGGUAGGGUAAAAGCCUACCAAGGCGACGAUCCAUAGCUGGUCUGAGAGGAUGGUCAGCCACACUGGGACUGAGACACGGCCCAGACUCCUACGGGAGGCAGCAGUGGGGAAUAUUGGACAAUGGGCGAAAGCCUGAUCCAGCAAUGCCGCGUGAGUGAUGAAGGCCUUAGGGUUGUAAAGCUCUUUUACCCGGGAUGAUAAUGACAGUACCGGGAGAAUAAGCUCCGGCUAACUCCGUG